rnacentral:lncRNA from 1 species
GGUUUAAUUAUAUGCAUGAUCACAUCAAUUUUGCUAUCGUGCAUGAUUAAGGCCCAGCAUGCGUUUGACCAUAUUUUAAGGGUACACGUGUCCCAAUUUGGUUCUUGGUGCCUCCUGCUGGUACUUGGUGGUUCCUGGCAAGCCAAGUAACACUGUCUCAGCAGUGCGUGUGAGCAAGUUUGCACACACUGCUCAUACUAACAUAUGCGUCUGGUGGAACAUGGGUGGUGGCCUAACAAAGUUAGUUGGGCACGGCCCAGAAACUCGCUAUAGAGCUGUAAUUUGAGAGGUUAAGCUUAGCUGCCGUACAGUGGUGCGGAAGUGCCGUAUUGAAGUGCCGCACAGCGGUGUGCAUCUGUUGUGCAACCUUCCUGCGAAGUUUUACGGGUGUCCUAUGUGUAAU